rnacentral:rRNA from 1 species
AACGAACGCUGGCGGCACGCCUAACACAUGCAAGUCGAACGAGACCUUCGGGUCUAGUGGCGCACGGGUGCGUAACGCGUGGGAACCUGCCCUUAGGUUCGGAAUAACUCCCCGAAAGGGGUGCUAAUACCGGAUAAUGUCUUCGGACCAAAGAUUUAUCGCCUUUGGAUGGGCCCGCGUUGGAUUAGCUAGUUGGUAGGGUAAAAGCCUACCAAGGCGACGAUCCAUAGCUGGUCUGAGAGGAUGAUCAGCCACACUGGGACUGAGACACGGCCCAGACUCCUACGGGAAGCAGCAGUGGGGAAUAUUGGACAAUGGGCGAAAGCCUGAUCCAGCAAUGCCGCGUGAGUGAUGAAGGCCUUAGGGUUGUAAAGCUCUUUUACCCGGGAUGAUAAUGACAGUACCGGGAGAAUAAGCUCCGGCUAACUCCGUG